AUGGAUCACGACGCUCGACCGGAUUUCCCCCAAUUCGGGAGAGAAGGCACAACAUAUAAGGUACCUUCUUAGCAAAUCCUAUAAUCGUUUGCAAAAUCAUCCAUUGAGAAGAUGUCUCCUCACGAUUUUAACAGGAGGUGAUUUCAGGUUACCAGAUCUGUAGAUGACAACACCCUCGGCUCUCAUUUCUAUGCACAUCUCUAUUAUUAUACAAUCAUUGCUCACUAGAGCUAUGGCGGGCGUUAAGUAAAUCUCCAUGGCAUAAACCUAAUGACAAAAAUGGAUCAUGACGACCAACUAGAUCGACUCAAUGCUGCAAGGUCAAGCAUGGCACAUGAGGUACGUAAUUAACCGAUCCUACAACAUUCUCAAAAUCAUGCAUUGAAAAUAAUUCCCGUCGUGGCCUUAAUGAUGAGGCGAUCACAUGCCACCACAUAUAUAUGGGAACAUCCUUGCUUUUCAUCUUUGUGUAAAUCUGGUCAUGAUGCCCGACUAGAUGGCCUAGAACACGGGAUCAAUCAUGAUAGAUCAUGCACCUAGCUACUUAGUAGAUCCCAAAAGGAUCUGUAAAAACAUGCUUUGAAAAAUGAAAGAAACGAUACAACUCAGUAGUUACAUUUACAUGCCAUAUCUACAGGAGCAAUCGGGGCUAGAGCACCUUCAUCCAUUUUAUGGAAUCGUGAUUCCAAGAUGAGGCAAGUCUUGUGUUAGCUUUGCGAGAUGAACACCCUUCUAAAUAUUUAUCUUAACGUGUCCGAUUGCUUGAUAUCGAAUAAGUCACUCUCUUGGAGAUUAGCCACUCUGAUUUAGUUAACAAAAGGGCAUUAUGAUUUUUCAAAUGAUUUCAUAUGGAGAUUAUGUGACUUGUGGGGAGAUGCUUAACGUAGACCAUGCCUCAUUUAUAUCCUACUAGUGUCUUGUGAUGUGUGAAGUUACUCUGGGCACCCUCCUCACAAAAGAACUUUUUAAUACCUGGUGGAAUGCUUAAAUUAAUAGUGAGAAAUUGAUGUGAAUAACAUAUAUACUCCUUUGUUAGCGUACCAUCUGAUCCUAGCUAGUUCAGUCAAAUGAACUAAAUAAUUGCAUGCCUAUUCGUAGAUACUUGUCAUUUUGGACAUUGACUUUGUCUCUACAUACACAUUUGAUUGUUACGUUAUACAUGAAUAUACUAGUAAAAUAAUAUUUGAAUUGUGUUAGGGGGGUAUUUUUCAUGACAAUAAGUUGCUAGCUAAGGUGGUUAUCUUUAUUCUUUUGCCAAACCAAAUUGGUUGUGUGUUCCCAAACAUCAACUUACUUCAUGGUGUUGUUAUUUAUGAGAACAAUUAUAAGAACAUCAAAGAAACUAAAAGAAAAGAAACACAAUAAAAAUAAUAUAAGUUGGGUUCGGGAACACAACCAAUUUCUUUCACAAACAAUAGCUAACCACUUGAGUUGGCAAUGUUUUUGAUGAAUCCUAGAAUGGUUUUGUUCGUCGACAAGCAUACUUCAACAGGCUCCAGUCGCAGACUAGGACAUACCAUGGGAACCACUGCAAAGUAUUGAUGUGUUAGUGGUUAGCCUCCUCUCUCUCCCACCUACCUGGUUUUAUUUUCCUUGGUUGUUCAGCCUUGUAUUGCUUUACUUUUGUUUGACACUUCAUUUGGCUGGUUGGCCAACAUUUUGUUUGAUAUUGAAUCGAAGGACUUCACUU
rnacentral:lncRNA from 1 species